ACCAAAAUGAAAGCCGUCCGCCGGUUUUUCGAGGAAGGCGACAAAGUCAAGGUCACUUUGCGCUUCCGGGGCCGAGAGAUGGCGCACCAGGAUCUCGGAUUUCGCCUUCUGGAGCGCGUGAAAACGGAGACGGGAACCAUCGCGAAGGUCGAAGCCGAGCCCUCGAUGGAAGGCCGUCAGAUGAUCAUGGUGCUCGCGCCGAAAUAAUCCCCGGACUUCAUGAUGCCGGCUGGAUUGCGGUCCGGCGGGGAAAAUCGCGGCGCUUGAGGCGUGAUCAGGCGGACGCCCUGCCGA
rnacentral:misc_RNA from 1 species